rnacentral:tRNA from 1 species
GGAGCGGUACUUUAAUGAGAAGGGCCGGUUUGCAUCCUGUUAGUGGACAGUAGUCCCCGCCCCA